rnacentral:sRNA from 1 species
UAAUGAUCCAAUUGGGUUAAUCAGUCCGC